UACGAAGGGGGCUAGCGUUGUUCGGAUUUACUGGGCGUAAAGGGCGCGUAGGCGGGCGACUAAGUCAGGGGUGAAAUCCCAAGGCUCAACCUUGGAACUGCCUUUGAUACUGGUUGUCUUGAGUUCGAGAGAGGUAAGUGGAACUGCGAGUGUAGAGGUGAAAUUCGUAGAUAUUCGCAAGAACACCAGUGGCGAAGGCGGCUUACUGGCUCGAUACUGACGCUGAGGCGCGAAAGCGUGGGGAGCAAACAGG
rnacentral:rRNA from 1 species